rnacentral:rRNA from 1 species
GAUGAACGCUAGCGGCAGGCCUAACACAUGCAAGUCGAGGGGCAGCACAGAAACAGCAAUGUUUUGGUGGCGACCGGCGCACGGGUGCGUAACGCGUAUGCAACCUACCCGUCACAGGGGGAUAAUCCGGAGAAAUCUGGUCUAAUACCCCAUAACAUAUGGAUCGGCAUCGGUUCAUGUUGAAAUUUUCGGAGGUGACGGAUGGGCAUGCGUAGCAUUAGCUUGUUGGUGAGGUAACGGCUCACCAAGGCGACGAUGCUUAGGGGGACUGAGAGGUUUUCCCCCCACACUGGUACUGAGACACGGACCAGACUCCUACGGGAGGCAGCAGUGAGGAAUAUUGGUCAAUGGGCGCAAGCCUGAACCAGCCAUGCCGCGUGCAGGAUGACGGCUCUAUGAGUUGUAAACUGCUUUUGUACGAGGGUAAAGUGGGUUACGUGUAACCUUUUGAAAGUAUCGUACGAAUAAGGAUCGGCUAACUCCGUGCCAGCCGCCGCAGUAA